rnacentral:rRNA from 1 species
UACGUAGGGCGCAAGCGUUGUCCGGAAUUAUUGGGCGUAAAGAGCUCGUAGGCGGCCUGUCGCGUCCGCUGUGAAAUCCCGGGGCUUAACCCCGGGCGUGCAGUGGAUACGGGCUGGCUAGAGGCAGGCAGGGGAGAACGGAAUUCCCGGUGUAGCGGUGAAAUGCGCUGAUAUCGGAAGGAACGCCGGUGGCGAAAGCGACGUGCUGGACCUCUUCUGACGCUGAGGCGCGAAAGCUAGGGGAGCGAACGGG